GGCUGAAAUUCGCCUUCAUGAAGCCGGAAUUGCUAGUAAUGGCAGGUCAGCAUACUGCCGUGAAUACGUUCCCGGGCCUUGUACACACCGCCCGUCACACCCAUGAGAGUUGGGAAUACCCGAAGCCUGUGAGCUAACUUUAAGAGGCAGCAGUCGAAGGUAGAAUCAAUGAUUGGGGUGAAGUCGUAACAAGGUAUC
rnacentral:rRNA from 1 species